GAAAGUAAGCAAGGGCGCAUGGCGGAUGCCUUGGCUCUCGGAGGCGAUGAAGGACGUGAUAAGCUGCGAUAAGCUUCGGGAAGGUGCAAAUAACCUUUGAUCCGAAGAUUUCCGAAUGGGACAACCCGUCAUUCUGAAGGAAUGACAUCUUGCAUAGCAAGAGGCUAACGCAGGGAACUGAAACAUCUUAGUACCUGCAGGAAAAGAAAAUAAUAAUGAUUCCCCAAGUAGUGGCGAGCGAACGGGGAUUAGCCCAAACCAAUGUUGUUACGGCAAUAUUGGGGUUGUAGGACCACGAUGUCGCAAGAACUUUAGUGAGAAGAAUUCUUUGGAAAAUGAAACCAUAGACGGUGAUAGUCCGGUAUUCGAAGCUAAACGAAGCGUAGUGGUAUCCUGAGUAGCGCGGGACACGAGGAAUCUUGCGUGAAUCUGCCGGGACCAUCCGGUAAGGCUAAAUACUCCCGAGAGACCGAUAGCGAACCAGUACUGUGAAGGAAAGGUGAAAAGCACUUCGAAUAGAAGAGUGAAAUAGUCCCUGAAACCGUGCGCCUACAAGCGGUCGGAGCAGCGUAAGUUGUGACGGCGUGCCUUUUGCAUAAUGAACCUACGAGUUACUUUUUCCGGCAAGGUUAAGCAUUUCAAAAUCCGCAGCCGAAGCGAAAGCGAGUCUUAACAGGGCGAUUAGUCGGAAGGAGUAGACGCGAAACCAAGUGAUCUACCCUUGGUCAGGUUGAAGGUUAGGUAACACUAACUGGAGGACCGAACCGAUAAGCGUUGAAAAGCUUCCGGAUGAACUGAGGGUGGGGGUGAAAGGCUAAUCAAACUUGGAGAUAGCUCGUACUCCCCGAAAUGCAUUUAGGUGCAGCCUUGGGAAUUACUACUGUGAGGUAGAGCGACUGAUAAGAUGCGAGGGCUUCACCGCCUAUCAAGUCUUGAUAAACUCCGAAUGCGCAGUAGUUCGAUCCCAGGAGUGAGGGCAUGGGUGCUAAGGUCCAUGUCCUAAAGGAGAAGAAUCCGGACCAUCAGCUAAGGUCCCGAAAUAAUUGCUAAGUUGAACUAACGAAGUCAGAUUGCUAAGACAGCUAGGAUGUUGGCUUGGAAGCAGCCAUUCAUUUAAAGAGUGCGUAACAGCUCACUAGUCGAGGAGUUUGGCGUGGAUAAUAAUCGGGCAUCAAGCAAUUUACCGAAGCUAUGGGAUCAGUAAUGAUCGGUAGGGGAGCAUUCCACUCUGCGUCGAAGGUGAAGCGUGAGCUUUGCUGGAGCGUGUGGAAAAGCAAAUGUAGGUAUAAGUAACGAUAAAGGGGGUGAGAAACCCCCUCGCCGAAAGACUAAGGUUUCCUGAUCAACGCUAAUCGGAUCAGGGUUAGUCGGGUCCUAAGGCUCAGCCGAACGGUGAGGCCGAUGGCAGAACAGGUUAAUAUUCCUGUACUACCUUAAGGAGUGACGUGGAGACGGAGGAGUGACAGCGCCGCGGACUGACGGAAUAGUCCGUUGAAGGGUGUAGAUGUUGAUUAUCCCAGGCAAAUCCAGGAUAAGAGUCGAACCUGAUAGUAUACCAAAUUCUUCGGAAUAAGGUAAUAGUGCGUGUAAGCAUACUCCCAAGAAAAUCCGCUAAACUUAAUCUUUAAGGUACCCGUACCGCAAACGGACACACGUAGUCGGGUUGAAUAUACUAAGGCGCUUGAGUGAUUCACGGUUAAGGAACUAGGCAAAUUGACCCUGUAACUUCGGGAUAAAGGGUCCCAACGAGAGUUGGGCGCAGAGAAUAGGUCCAGGCAACUGUUUAACAAAAACACAGGGCUGUGCAAAAUUGAAAGAUUACGUAUACAGCCUGACACCUGCCCGGUGCUGGAAGGUUAAGAGGAGAUGUCAUCGCAAGAGAAGCAUUGAAUUGAAGCCCCAGUAAACGGCGGCCGUAACUAUAACGGUCCUAAGGUAGCGAAAUUCCUUGUCGGGUAAGUUCCGACCUGCACGAAUGGUGUAAUGAUCUGGACGCUGUCUCAACCGUGAGCUCAGUGAAAUUGUAGUAUCGGUGAAGAUGCCGAUUACCCGCGAUGGGACGAAAAGACCCCGUGAACCUUUACUAUAGCUUAACAUUGAAUUUGGGUAAUUGAUGUGUAGGAUAGGCCGGAGACUUCGAAGCAGGUACGCCAGUAUUUGUGGAGUCGCUGUUGAAAUACGGCCCUUUGAUUAUUUGAGUUCUAACUCGUAGUUGCGAGGACACU
rnacentral:rRNA from 1 species